rnacentral:rRNA from 1 species
CAUAUCAAUAAGCGGAGGAAAAGAAACCAACAGGGAUUGCCUUAGUAGCGGCGAGUGAAGCGGCAAAAGCUCAAAUUUGAAAUCUGGCACCUUCGGUGUCCGAGUUGUAAUUUGAAGAUUGUAACCUUGGGGUUGGCUCUUGUCUAUGUUUCUUGGAACAGGACGUCACAGAGGGUGAGAAUCCCGUGCGAUGAGAUGCCCAAUCCUAUGUAAGGUGCUUUCGAAGAGUCGAGUUGUUUGGGAAUGCAGCUCUAAGUGGGUGGUAAAUUCCAUCUAAAGCUAAAUAUUGGCGAGAGACCGAUAGCGAACAAGUACAGUGAUGGAAAGAUGAAAAGAACUUUGAAAAGAGAGUGAAAAAGUACGUGAAAUUGUUGAAAGGGAAGGGUUUGAGAUCAGACUCGAUAUUUUGUGAGCCUUGCCUUCGUGGCGGGGUGACCCGCAGCUUAUCGGGCCAGCAUCGGUUUGGGCGGUAGGAUAAUGGCGUAGGAAUGUGACUUUGCUUCGGUGAAGUGUUAUAGCCUGCGUUGAUGCUGCCUGCCUAGACCGAGGACUGCGAUUUUAUCAAGGAUGCUGGCAUAAUGAUCCCAAACCGCCCGUCUU